rnacentral:rRNA from 1 species
CCUACGGGUGGCUGCAGUGGGGAAUAUUGCACAAUGGGGGGAACCCUGAUGCAGCGACGCCGCGUGAGUGAAGAAGUAUUUCGGUAUGUAAAGCUCUAUCAGCAGGGAAGAAAAUGACGGUACCUGACUAAGAAGCCCCGGCUAACUACGUGCCAGCAGCCGCGGUAAUACGUAGGGGGCAAGCGUUAUCCGGAUUUACUGGGUGUAACGGGAGCGCAGACGGCUGGGCAAGUCUGGGGUGAAAGGCGGGGGCUCAACCCCGGGACUGCACUGGAAACUGUCAAGCUGGAGUGCAGGAGAGGCAAGCGGAAUUCCUAGUGUAGCGGUGAAAUGCGUAGAUAUUAGGAGGAACACCAGUGGCGAAGGCGGCUUACUGGACUGCAACUGACGUUGAGGCUCGAAAGCGUGGGGAGCAAACAGGAUUAGAUACCCGGGUAGUC